AUCGUAUAUAAACUUGUGUCACAUGGUGAUGAUCAGGCAGAAUUCAAACACUGAAAAGUCUGAGCUGUGGCAGUCUCUGGCUUUGUGUGAUUGCCAAAAAAACUCCAGCAUGGAACACUAGGUAGCAUCUUAACCUCUAGUUUCUGCUUGUAAUGAUUACAUGGUGCUGUUUCAUGGCAAUUUUGAGGUUAUUUGAAGGACUCUGGAGAAAGGAGCCUGAAUGGCAUGUAGCAUUGGAAUGGACCCAGAAACUGCUGGAAGAUGCAAGAGGAUUCACAGGGAAGAAGUGCAGAGGGCAAUGGAGAGAAGCCAAAGUGAACAAGCAUGGAGUGCAAAGAAUAAACACAGAGGUUACAAGGAAGAUCAAGAUGAAUGAUCAAAGGUGUGGAACAUUUCCAUCUGAGGAGAUAGUAAAUGAAAAGUAAACAGACCAAGAUGUUUCUAUUUGAAGAAAAGGAAAUGCUGGACCUACAUUCAUGACCUUCUUAGCCCUUCUCUACUUUUUAUCUUUUUUUUUUUUUUUUUUUUUUUCCCAACUGGAGAGUUCAGUGUCAGCAAAAUCAAUUAAAAUCUUUCAAUAAUUAUCAGUGACGUUUCUUUUGUUCCUGCUGGUAUUUCCAAAGGGAUUGUCACUGAAGUACACGACCUUUUGUCAA
rnacentral:lncRNA from 1 species